rnacentral:rRNA from 1 species
AACAUCGCCUCCCGCAAAACCGCAAUGUAUAGGAGGUCUUGCCUGCCCAGUGACUACAAGUUAAACGGCCGCGGUAUUUUGACCGUGCAAAGGUAGCGCAAUCACUUGUCUUUUAAAUGGAGACCUGUAUGAAUGGUAGAACGAGGGCUUAACUGUCUCCCCCUUCAAGUCAAUGAAAUUGAUCUCCCCGUGCAGAAGCGGGCAUAAUAAUACAAGACGAGAAGACCCUUUGGAGCUUGAGAUGCAAGACCAACUAUGUCAAAAAACCUUAAAAGAAUUAAACUAAAUAAUAACUGGUCCUCAUCUUCGGUUGGGGCGACCACGGGAGACAACAAAGCUCCCACGCGGACUGGGAAAAUACCCAAAACUAAGAGAGACAUCUCUAAGUCGCAGAAUAUCUGACCAAAAAGAUCCGGCUUCUUGCCGAUCAACGGACCAAGUUACCCUAGGGAUAACAGCGCAAUCCCCUUCCAGAGUCCAUAUCGACAAGGGGGUUUACGACCUCGAUGUUGGAUCAGGACAUCCUAAUGGUGCAGCCGCUAUUAAGGGUUCGUUUGUUCAACGAUUAAAGUCCUACGUGAU